CCUACGGGCGGCAGCAGUGGGGAAUAUUGGAUAAUGGGGGCAACCCUGAUCCAGCCAUGCCGCGUGUGUGAAGAAGGCCCUCGGGUUGUAAAGCACUUUCAGUGAGGAAGAACGCCUGGUGGUUAAUACCCAUCAGGAAAGACAUCACUCACAGAAGAAGCACCGGCUAACUCCGUGCCAGCAGCCGCGGUAAUACGGAGGGUGCGAGCGUUAAUCGGAAUUACUGGGCGUAAAGCGCGCGUAGGUGGCUUGAUAAGCCGGUUGUGAAAGCCCCGGGCUCAACCUGGGAACGGCAUCCGGAACUGUCAAGCUAGAGUGCAGGAGAGGAAGGUAGAAUUCCCGGUGUAGCGGUGAAAUGCGUAGAGAUCGGGAGGAAUACCAGUGGCGAAGGCGGCCUUCUGGACUGACACUGACACUGAGGUGCGAAAGCGUGGGUAGCAAACAGGAUUAGAUACCCUAGUAGUC
rnacentral:rRNA from 1 species